UCAAGAAAAUUUAAAUUACUAUAAUUGAAAUCAUUUAUUGUACUUCAUCAUCAUUAUCUUAUUAUCAUUAUGUGCCUGCCAAUCUUUCUUUAUGAAUGAACCAUCUGAGUAAAAAUGAAUCAUCCCUUUGCUUUGAAACUCCAUUUUAUUAGUAUGAGUAAUACUUGUAUGUCCUAGCCAGCCUUUCUUGAUAAUGCAAGGUGCAUGGGUCAGUAUAGAAGGAAAUUUGAAUAAUAUUCUAGGUCCAAUAGGUAAAGCAUCCCCAAAAUCUAGAAAUUCAAAGAAAGAACAGGUUUCGCUUUCACAAGUAUAUUCAUUCACUUCUCAUAGAAUUGUUCUUUCCUUCUUGCAAAGUAAAUAGAUUUAGGAUUAACACAGGUUGUAAAUAGCCUAGUUUUUGAAUAACAUUUGCUGUAAACAGUGCUUGGACUUUUUUUUUAAUAUACACAAGCUAUUGUUUGACACAGAUCAUUAAAACUUGCAGUACAUGCACUUCUGAAACCUGCACAAUUUACCCAAUUAUGGAGUUGAAAAAUAAUUCACAUGGGGUAUAUUAGUUAAAGGGAUAUGUCUAGACUGCAACAAAAAAUAAGAUAACAAUCAAUUUGUAUGCAUCAAAUAUAUUUUAUUCUGUAUAAAAAAAUCUCCCAGUUUUCUUCAGUAAUGACUAUUUUCUAAUCUUACACAUAAUUACCAUUAUACAUCAUCAUCAUCAUCAUUAUAAUUUCCCUUUUUGUACUUUAUCUUAAUCAUACCAACUCAGUAUGAUGGAAAUACAUCUACCUUCAAAUCUCAGUAGAAAAAAAUAUUACUAUGAUUAUUCUUUUAUCUUAUUUGAAUGCAUAAUGUAUAAACAUGAUAUCAUUAAUGAUGCAAAUCUAGAACAUAUUUCUUCAAUUACUUGGUGGAACCAGGUAUAUACAUGUAUCUCAGAAUGAUAUAAAUAAUCUCAUAAGACAAGGUCACAUGCUCAACAACAUAAAAAAAUGUCACUCAUACAACUGACCGUAAAUUGACAGGCAAAGAACAAGUUUUGAUCCAUAUCUCAAAUGUGUUAUCAAUUCUAUAAAACAGGUUUCAUGAAAAUGGGCCAUAACCUUUUUUUAUUUUUAUUUUUUGUUAUAAGCUCCAAUGACAAACAAUAUUGAAAAUAAGCAUUAUCAUCUUUUUUUCAAAUAUGAUGCACCAUUUCUCAAAAUGGUCAUCCAUAGAGCAUCAAGCUGUCCCAUUAAUGCAAAGAAGCAUGAAGAACAUAUCACAUUUCCUAAACAAACACAAAAUGUUUUGUUCAAAUUGCCUGACAGUUUAUGCCAGUUUCAGGGGGGGGAUUCAGCACCCCUACCCCCUGCCCUCAUGAUCUCGGCCAUUGACACCGUUCUCACUAACUUCCUAAAACUAGUUUAGUGGAAAUUAGUUUAACGUGAAGUGAGAACGGUCGAAGCAAUCUUCCAAACCGGUUCAGAAAACCACCUCGUGAUGUAGUUUUCAAGAUCACUGUGCCUUGUUAAACUAGUUUGAGCGUACGUGUGGACACAACCGUUCUUCGGGAAAUGAUCUUCGCACAAUUUGAGUGCACUACUCCACACGACGCACUAUGCUGCGGUUUCAAAUUUCGUGCGAAACGUGUAACCCCACUGAGAGCGCUUCCAUAGCAACAAGAUUGCUGUAUGUGAAGUGAUUUUGAAAACUACUUUCGUGUGAUCAAGUUGAAACGCUAGCAAAGCAAUCUUCCAAAAUGGUUUCCUGAAUCGGUUUACAGUAAACUAGUCUUAGAAAUCGUAAUGAGAGCGGCCUCACUGACCGCAUGAUCACAAUGAAAAUCGGUAUGCAUGUUACUUGUGGCAUAAUCUACAAAAAUUUUAAAUCAAUUUUGUUUUAAAUCUCAUGGACUGGUGAACAAGGAUCGAAUAGUGUACAAAAAUACUGAGUACAAAAAAUGAAGAAAGGGAUAGAUAGGCCUAUUGAUUAAUAUUUAGCUACCCAUAUAUAUAUUGGAUAUGAUUUUGUCACAAAUUGUCACUAUUCUAAUAAACAUAGGUAUGCAGUUUUUAUUUAUUGUGUGACAAUGGUCGCAAAAGGUAAAUCAAAUGGAAUGUAGUAUGAACAGUCGAUUAAAACACAUCUCAGACACUGAUACAAACAUACAUCAUGAGCUUGGCUGUAGUCUUAACAGACUCACUUCCCAUCAUAAACCUACAUGGAUUCAAAAGCUACAAAUAUUGAUUACACUGAUCAGGUUUUACAAGAUCAUGUGUACUUUUACUU